rnacentral:rRNA from 1 species
CAGUCGCCACGGUAAUACGAAGGGGGCUAGCGUUGUUCGGAAUUACUGGGCGUAAAGGGCGCGUAGGCGGCCAUUCAAGUUAGAUGUGAAAGCCCUGGGCUCAACCUAGGAAUUGCAUUUGAUACUGUUUGGCUUGAGUUCGGGAGAGGUGAGUGGAAUUCCCAGUGUAGAGGUGAAAUUCGUAGAUAUUGGGAAGAACACCAGUGGCGAAGGCGGCUCACUGGACCGACACUGACGCUGAGGCGCGAAAGCGUGGGGAGCAAACAGGAUUAGAUACCCCAGUAGUCCCUGUCUCUUAUAC